rnacentral:tRNA from 1 species
GGCGCGGUACCCAAGUGGUAAGGGGGCAGUCUGCAAAACUGUUAUGCGACGGUUCAAUUCCGUCCCGCGCCU